rnacentral:rRNA from 1 species
AACGAACGCUGGCGGCAGGCUUAACACAUGCAAGUCGAGCGCCCCGCAAGGGGAGCGGCAGACGGGUGAGUAACGCGUGGGAAUCUGCCGUGCCCUACGGAAUAACGCAUGGAAACGUGUGCUAAUACCGUAUACGCCCUACGGGGGAAAGAUAUAUCGGGGUAUGAUGAGCCCGCGUUGGAUGGGCUAGUUGGUGGGGUAAAGGCCUACCAAGGCGACGAUCAAUAGCUGGUCUGAGAGGAUGAUCAGCCACAUUGGGACUGAGACACGGCCCAAACUCCUACGGGAGACAGCAGUGGGGAAUAUUGCACAAUGGGCAAAAGCCUGGUCCAGCCAUGCCGCGUGAGUGAUGAAGGUCUUAGGAUUGUAAAGCUCUUUCACCGGUGAAGAUAAUGACGGUAACCGGAGAAGAAGCCCCGGCUAACUUCGUGCCAGCCGCCGCAGUAA